CGAACGCUGGCGGCACGCUUAACACAUGCAAGUCGAACGAGAGAAGAGAAGCUUGCUUUUCUGAUCUAGUGGCGGACGGGUGAGUAACACGUGAGCAAUCUUCCUUUCGGAGGGGGAUACCGAUUGGAAACGAUCGUUAAUACCGCAUAACAUAAUUGAACCGCAUGAUUUGAUUAUCAAAGAUUUAUCGCUGAAAGAUGAGCUCGCGUCUGAUUACCUAGUUGGUAAGGGAACGGCUUACCAAGGCGACGAUCAGUAGCCGGACUGAGAGGUUGAUCGGCCACAUUGGGACUGAGACACAGCCCAGACUCCUACGGGAGGCAGCGGUGGGGAAUAUUGCACAAUGGAGGAAACUCUGAUGCAGCGAUGCCGCGUGAGGGAAGAAGGUUUUAGGAUUGUAAACCUCUGUCUUCAGGGACGAAAAAAGACGGAACCUGAGGAGGAAGCUCCGGCUAACUACGUGCCAGCAGCCGCGGUAAUACGUAGGGAGCGAGCGUUGUCCGGAAUUACUGGGUGUAAAGGGAGCGUAAGCGGAAUCGCAGGUCAGAUGUGAAGACUAUGGGCUUAACCCAUAAACUGCAUUUGACACUGUGGUUCUUGAGUGAAGUACAGGUAAGCGGAAUUCCUAGUGUAGCGGUGAAAUGCGUAGAUAUUAGGAGGAACAUCAGUGGCGAAGGCGGCUUACUGGGCUUUAACUGACGCUGAAGCUCGAAAGCGUGGGGAGCAAACAGGAUUAGAUACCCUGGUAGUCCACGCCGUAAACGAUGAUUACUAGGUGUGGGGGGACUGACCCCUUCCGUGCCGCAGCAAACGCAAUAAGUAAUCCACCUGGGGAGUACGACCGCAAGGUUGAAACUCAAAGGAAUUGACGGGGGCCCGCACAAGCAGUGGAGUAUGUGGAUUAAUUCGAAGCAACGCGAAGAACCUUACCAGGUCUUGACAUCGUAUGCAUAGCUCAGAGAUGAGUGAAAUCUCUUCGGAGACAUAUAGACAGGUGGUGCAUGGUUGUCGUCAGCUCGUGUCGUGAGAUGUUGGGUUAAGUCCCGCAACGAGCGCAACCCUUACUGUUAGUUGCUACGCAAGAGCACUCUAGCAGGACUGCCGUUGACAAAACGGAGGAAGGUGGGGAUGACGUCAAAUCAUCAUGCCCCUUAUGACCUGGGCCUCACACGUACUACAAUGGCUGUCAACAGAGGGAUGCAAAGCCGCGAGGUGGAGCGAACCCCUAAAAGCAGUCUUAGUUCGGAUUGUAGGCUGCAACCCGCCUACAUGAAGUCGGAAUUGCUAGUAAUUGCAGAUCAGCAUGCUGCGGUGAAUACGUUCCCGGGCCUUGUACACACCGCCCGUCACGCCAUGGGAGUCGGUAACACCCGAAGCCUGUAGUCUAACCGCAAGGAGAACGCAGUCGAAGGUGGGAUUGAUGACUGG
rnacentral:rRNA from 1 species